rnacentral:rRNA from 1 species
AUAAGACGAGAAGACCCUGUGGAACUUUAAAAUCACGACCACCUUACAACCUUACACAGCCCCACUGGGUCCACCCACACAUAAACCCCUGGUCGACAUUUUUCGGUUGGGGCGACCUUGG